rnacentral:lncRNA from 1 species
CGGUGCGCAACACCGCGUUUGUUAGCGCCGCGACGCGGUGCCGGGAGGGCGCACCCCGCGCUCGGCUGCAGAUGCGCCGCUCGCCGCAGGCAGCCCGCGGAAAGGCAGGCUCUGCGGCGACCGACCGCUGGCCCUUCUCCCGGCACAGGGCACCGCAUGGCCCGCAGUGCUGCCACGGAACGCUCUCCUCACGUAGCAGCGUAGCGUCCCGCUCGUACCGCAGCCGGAGCCAACGCACCGGCACCCGGCUCGUACAGAGGGAGAGAAAGAGAGAGCGCUGCUCGUUGGAGAGGCACCGCACGCACAGCUUCUAAGGCUGCCUCGGAUUUAUGCGUGGCUCAGAAAAGUACCGUUUUCAUGUGCUUUUCUGGUACAGAGCUGUGGUUACACGGUAAUUUACCAGCAGACCAAAUACGCGCAUGCUUAAUUUGUACCAAACGACUACAAGAACCAGUUCAGUGAUGAAUGCUAGGAAAAAAAGACAAAAAAACACAUAAGAGAACAGAACAAACCCACUUGUGACACGAUGUUAGAACUUCCUUCCAGAACUCAUAUCCCUCCCAGGAGAAGCAGGUAAGGAAGUACUGAUGGAGAAGACAAAGCCCUGCCCAACAGCUGAGGCAGCAGUAACUCUGCCAAAUCUCAGGUCUUCGAAUUCCCAGUCCUUCACUUCAAAAACAUUACACAGAUAACAGUCACAGAAGACAAUACUCCACUCUCAGGAAGGAUGCUCUCUACCAGGUAACCUUCAGGACUGAAGAGGCAGAAUGUUAUCUCGUGCUGGCUUCAACAUGGCAUCACACAAAAUCCUCUGACUUCAUCAGUGUGCCUAACUACAGAGAUUCAGACUGCUGAUAAAGCAUUUUAAGCAAAGUUAGCAGGACAACAUUCAAGGGAGUUCAGGCUAUGUGAUUUUUUUUGUUACCAUUGUUACAAACCUUCAAUUAAUUACAGCAAUAGCUGACAUCCUUUUAGUUUUU